rfam:Monodelphis domestica chromosome 5, whole genome shotgun sequence.
GGUAAAAUGGCUGAGUUCAAGUAUUGAACUGUAAAUUCAAAGACAGAGAAUAGUAAUCCCUUUUUACCA